rnacentral:rRNA from 1 species
AAUAUUGGACAAUGGGCGAAAGCCUGACCCAGCAAUGCCGCGUGUGUGAAGAAGGUCUUCGGUUUNUAACGCACUUUAUGGUGGGANGAAGGGUUGUAGAUUAAUACUCUGCAAUUUUGACGUUACCGACAGAAUAAGCACCGGCUAACUCCAUUCCAGCAGCCGCGGUAAUACGAAGGGUGCAAGCUUUAAUCGGAAUUACUGGGCGUAAAGCGCGCGUAGGUGGUUCGUGAAGUUGGAUGAGAAAUCCCCAGGCUCAACCUGGGACCUGCAUCCAAAACUGGCGAGCUAGAGUAUGGUAGACGGUGGUGGAAUUUCCUGUGUAGCGGUGAAAUGCGUAGAUAUAGGAAGGAACACCAAUGGCGAAGGCGACCACCUGGACUGAUACUGUCACUGAGGUGCGAAAGCGUGGGGAGCAAACAGG